CUUGUCAAUUUAUUACGAGAUCUAUUGUGAUGAAGAUGUGUUUUCUUUUGCAGUUGAAAGUAAAUAAUGCUUUCCAAAUCGGAAUGGGCUACACUCAAAACAUUAGGAAAGGUGUAAAGCUGAACCUUUCUUCAUUGGUUGAGGGCAAGAAUUUCAACCAAGGUGGUCACAAGGUCGGAAUGGGUCUUGAAUUUGAUGCCUAAAUGUUACAUGUCCAAGUGGUUAGUGAUAUAAUAUAAAACCUUUGGAUGCAAAGCAAUUCAUUCAUCAUCAGUGUUUAACCAGGAGAGGAGACACAACAUAUUAAACAUUUGCUAGUCUGGUGAGGGUCCAGUCUUCACCUCAUCUUUAUCUAGUAUUCCCAGUGUUGACACUGCCGACAGCAUAAGCAUGGCAGAGUUUGGUGCAUGCAGAGACUGAAGACGGAUUUGAUGUUCACUUUGCCACCCACUUUGAAUUGAUUGUGGAUUUCAAGAAAAUGACAUGAUCAAUCAGAUAUUGAUUUGUACUUAGAUUUAUUUCUUGUUUGCUGUUUCCAUUAGGUUACAUUCGUUGCAUAGCAAACAAGCUGUUUUCCCACUGUCCACCAAUCGAGAAACCUUCAUUCGACAUAACGCAGGUUAGAUGUGUCAGAGAAUUUGUCCCUGAGAGCUUAUCAAAACAUUUCAGUGCUGGUAAAUUAAUGUACAAAUAUGUAUCUUAAUUAAAGAAUUAUGUGAUGUGUAAAA